CAGUCUGGAAUUCAGAUUCAGCGUCUGGACAUGCAAUAGUCAUCCUGAGAUAACACUAUCUAAAUUCCUUCCAAAGAAAGAUGGAGUUGGAAGCUUAAGGAGCAUUGGUCUCUGACUUCCAUGAACAGAUCCUGAAUUUCACUAGAGUCUUCAAGGGGAUCCAUUAAACACAACUUCUCUUCCCUGCCUGGAUUCUGGAUGACCUGAAAAGUAAGCUCGCCAGGUGAUCCUUUCUCUGCACAUUUUGUGCCAUCCGCUGCCCUCACCAGAUGCCAGAGCAAUGGAGCUUGGAUUGUGAACCUCCAAAACUGUAA